rnacentral:rRNA from 1 species
UAUGCACGCUGGCGGCGUGCCUAAUACAUGCAAGUCGAGCGAACAGACGAGGAACUUGCUCCUCUGACGUUAGCGGCGGACGGGUGAGUAACACGUGGAGAACCUACCUAUAAGACUGGGAUAACUUCGGGAAACCGGAGCUAAUACCGGAUAAUAUAUUUAACCGCAUGGUUCAAUAGUGAAAGACGGUUUUGCUUUCACUUAUAGAUGUAUCCGCGCGUAAUUAGCUAGUUGGUAAGGUAACGCCUUACCAAGGCGACAAUGCUAACCCGACCUAGAGGGGUGACGGCCACAAUGGGACUUAGACAACGCCCAACACCCCUACGGAGGGAGGAAGAAGGAAACUUUCCGAAAUGGGGAAAAGCCUACCGAAGAAAGGCCGCGUGAGUAAUGAUGGUCUUGGGACCGAAAAACUCUGUUAUUAAGGAAAAACUAAUGUGUAAGUAACUAUGCACGAAUUGACGGUACCUAAUCAGAAAGCCACGGCUAACUACGUG